GGGAAGGUGGCUCAGUGGUAGAGUGCUUGUCUCACAUGCAUGAGGCCCUGGGUUCGAUUCCUCAGCGCCA
rnacentral:tRNA from 1 species